CCUACGGAGGCAGCAGUGGGGAAUAUUGCACAAUGGGGGAAACCCUGAUGCAGCGACGCCGCGUGAGUGAAGAAGUAUUUCGGUAUGUAAAGCUCUAUCAGCAGGGAAGAAACCCACCCUUUGGGGUGGCUGACGGUACCUGACUAAGAAGCCCCGGCUAACUACGUGCCAGCAGCCGCGGUAAUACGUAGGGGGCAAGCGUUAUCCGGAUUUACUGGGUGUAAAGGGAGCGUAGACGGCAUAGCAAGUCUGAAGUGAAAGCCCGUGGCUCAACCGCGGAACUGCUUUGGAAACUGUUAAGCUGG
rnacentral:rRNA from 1 species